ACCUAAGAUUCCAUCUCCUUCACAAUCUGCAGCUUCAAGGGGAGAGCUGUUACCACCACCUCCUCCUCAUAAGGAGGAAACUUCUUCUAAAGUCCAGGAGAUUGCUGAGGAGGGUAAAAAUGGCAGUGCACCACAGCAAAUGGUGGAGAGAGGCAGGAUUUCUAAGGUUGCAGAUGUUUCUGAAGCCACACAUGAGUCAGUUAGUGUUAAAGAACCUGCAUCCCAGGGAAGUGCUCCAUUGGCUGAUGAAGAAGUUCAACAAAAGCAUGUAGCUGCGGAGGCAGGUAAUGAUGCUCUGUUGUUCACAUUUUUGGCUUCGUAAGUCUUUGGUUGUAUCUUACCGAGCAGCUUAGAGGAGAUUCUUGGUUUCUUAUAUCCCUUGGAUUAGUUCUCAUCUAUUUCUAUUUUUUAUUUUUUCAGCAAAGAAAAAGAAGAAGAAGAAAGCACGCCUGCCAUUGAACCGUAUGCACAUUUCCCUUCCUCUUGUGCACGAGUUGAUAAAUCUGUUAGUUAUUUUUUGGAAUAGAGCUUCGAUUAUUAUGUCUGCAAUCUUGAUGGAUCUGUUUCCUGAUUUACUUGAUGCCCUUGCAGCUGCUGCUGCGGAGAUGCAGUGGAGAGCUGCUCAAGAUCAUCUUGCUGCUGAGAAUUAUAUGAUGUCCAUGGGUCCUUCUGCGUAUAAUCCUUAUUGGACAGGCAUGCAACCUGGACUAGAUGGGUUUGCAGCCCCUUAUCAUGGUGCCAUGCCGUACAAUCCUUAUGGGUUUGGUCCUCUAGAUGUUCCAUUUGUCCCUCCUGUAUUACCACAAGAUCCAUUUGGCGGACAAGGUUUUAUGUUGCCUUUUGGUCCUCCAAUGCAGAGGUAUAAUUUGUGUUGCCUUUUAUCCUGAAUUUCUCUCUUAAUCUCUGAUCAAGCGUUUACACAUGUUUUGGGGGUCCUAACCCCUUCUCGCAGUUUUUGGAAAUGGAUAUUCAGUCUGGUUCUGAUGUUGUAGUUUAAUUACUUUCAUGUUCAUGUAUCUAUAUGUGUCAGCUCCUGCGAGAUUUGGAUCACCUGACUGGUUUAAAAAUGACCACCAAAUUUUAGGGAUCUUGCAGCAGAGUUUGGGAUGGGAUUUAAUGCUGGCCCACCAAUCAUGAGCAGAGAAGAGUUCGAGGCUAGAAAGGCUGAUCUGAAAAGGAAGCGUGAGAUCGAGAUACGGGGAGAGAGGUAAUUUAACCUACCUGGUUUUCUGUUCCUGUUAAUUCAUUGCACAAUAUGGUGCUAUUUCCGUUGGUGAUGUUAAAAUCACAUUAAAUGAUCUGAGCACUGCGUGUUGAGGUUUUCCAAAGAAUGCUCAUUCCGUAAUUUCACGGCAUCACAUUAUGGUGCUAUUUUGGUGUGAUAUCAAGAAUUUCUUAAAUGCUUGAGUAUUGAAUCUUGAGGUUUUUGCAGUAUGCGUGUGCUAUAAGUGCCUCCGUACAACUUAGUUUUCUCUACUUGAAGGCAUGCUGAAUUCAAGCACGAUUAAUUAUAUCCUCAUAUUUUGUCCUCUUUGGUUUGUUUUUAUUGUCAAGAGUCAUUUUCUAUUAUGCUUCUGCUUUUUAACGCACUUUCAAUGGAUUUUUGAUAUUGGCAAUGUCUCGUGUUAUAUCCAGCAGGGAGUUUCCUAAAGACAGGGAACAUGCAAGGGAAGUUGGGAGCGGUGCUGAUGGUCCUCCAGUGAAAUCCAAAUCUGUAUGUAUCUUGCUUGCCAAAUAUUCCAGUCUAUUUUAUCCCUAUAUUUUAGUAGAUGGGUAUGCGUUACGAGAAAAUUUGGCUAACAACCUGUUUAGCCAAGAAGCAGUUUAUUUCCAGUUUCAUCUUUCUAUUACCGGGGACAGUCAAAAAAGCAGCAGUCCCCUCCCCCCCCCCCCCCCAAACCACCACCAAAAAAAAAAAAAAGAGUCUCAGAGACUGAAUUUCUAGCAUUUUUUUCUAAUAUUAAGUACAGGACACACUGGAGUCUGGACUACCUUAAUAUGGGGUUCUGGAGAAUUAAGAUUAAAGUUUGCCCAUUCUGCUGGAAGGGUAUAUACGACUUCCUAACCCUAGUUGGUGCUCCUUUUGAAUGAUGAUGUUGCCUGAUGGCGAAAAAUAUCGUCACAGUUUUUGGUUGCCCUCAGUAAAAUGGGCAGUUGACUGGAGCUCAAUCAGGACAGUGCGCAUUAAGAUGUUGAUUUACAUUUCUUUUGCUAGUUAUUAGUCUGUUCCGGUUCCUGUAUGUUGGAUGUGUUGGACAAUGGCCAUUAAGUGAUUUUGUUCCCUCAUUUUCUUUUCUGUUUUUUUCCCCAAUUUUUUAAACCUUUUCCUAAUGGAAACAAGCCUGGAGUUCUACUCCUUUUGUGACGAAACUGUUUGCCUAUUUUGACGAAAAUUUUUACAGUAAGCUAUUAAGAACAUGGAAAAAUGAUGGAAGUGGAUAGGACUCCAAAAGUGUUCUAGACUAAUCUUCUGUUGUAGAAUCAUUGAAGUGUAGUGGGGGAUUGGGUGAGGUUAAAUCAUUUUUCCUGGAAUGUACUAUGGUGUAUUUAUUUUGAGUAUUUGCUAGGCCAGUAGGAAAAAAGAGUCUAUUUUAAAGAGGUGUAAAAUCCUCUCCUUUUGUAGUGCAUGAUGUUUUUUACGGCUUUAGAUCUGCAUUUUGAUAUUUUAGAACAUUUUUUCUUCUUUGCAAUUUUUUGAUAUUAAUAUAUUCAUUGAUGAUUGCACAGAAAGCUAUUCCUCCUCAAUCGAGCUCCGGCCGUCCCCGCCGACCUGAGAGGCCAUCACCGGACCUUGACCACCACCGCCGACCUGAGAGGCCAUCGCCAGACCUUGACCACCACCGCCGACCUGAGAGGCCUUCGCCGGAGCUUGACCACCGCCGCCGACCUGAGAGGCCCUCACCUGACCUUGACUAUCACCGUCGGCCUGAGAGGCCAUCUCCAGACCGUCGAUCGCGAGAUCCUGAACUUCCUCGCCCUUUGUCCAAGAGAAAGUAUGAAGAUUAUGAUGAUCACCAUCAUGAGGACCGCCAUCGCCGCGACCACCAUGAGGACCGCCACCACCGUGAGUAUGCCCAUCGCAGUAGCAGUAGCCACCACCGUUCAGAAUCUUCAGCUAGCGUCAAACCA
rnacentral:lncRNA from 1 species